AGUUUAUAACUAAAAAUAAACCAAUAGGAAAGCUAGCCAUGGCAUAGUGGCUACAUGCAUGGGAUGUGAAGCCACACUUCCUGAGUUUGAAUCCCAGCUCUGCCUCAUCUUAAAAGUGUGAUCAUAGAGAGUGUGCCAACAUCAUUCUGAAUGAUUGGGAUACACGAGUGGGAGUGAGUGAAGUGGACAAUGGCAGCAUUUUAGAAAAGGACUAAGGGUCAUGGGAUACAUGAACUUCAGGCUUAAUCUCUGUGUGAGAAAAACAGCAUGAAGAUAAUCAACUCUAUGUCAGAAGAAAUUGGCAACACUACUAACCACGAGUAAUGCACACCGAAGGCAAGCUACCUGAGCCCUGAUCCCCCACCUGCCACUCUAGCGAUGUGAUUUUGGGCCAGUUAAUUAGUUCCUUUCUGCCUCACUUUCCCCUUCAUAGGGUUGUGAA